GCCCAUCAUCUCAUCGGAUGUGUUUAAUCCAGCCACUCUUGGUUUUUUUAUUAUUACAUCAUCUUCUCAUGCUCUGGUGCCAUGCUGCUCAGAGAGGACACUGAGAAUGGAGCAGACUGGCCGAUUAGAAGAGGGGAUGCAGCGGACAAGGCCGUGGUGGACAGGAGCACUGAUAAAAAUAAGGCUCGACGCCUUGAAGAGUGGCCUGAGAUAAAAGCAGCAUGCGUUCAGGGACCCCGUCUCACCCCUAAGGGAGAGGAAAUAUUAUUUGAUCCCACUCAAAGAGCCUCUCUGUGCCAAGUCAAGCAGACCCACAGCAAUACAGGAAUAGAUUCCUCCAUCUCCUUCCCUGCCUCCCUAUCUGCAAUCCCUCUCAGUGAACCAUCCAUACUGGCAAAAUUGGUUUUGAUUUGCACACAUCUUUGCUCUGCGUAUAGUCUAUGUAUAGUAUAGACUGAUUCAUAAAACAUGUCUGUGUGUGUGUGAUGGAUGUCCUUAUUUGAUUUACUGUGUCACACUCUUUACUGUGUCUCACUGUAUAAAACCAGUUAAUAAUAUCCAUUGACAUUAUGUGUAAAUAAAAAACACACUGUAUGUUAUGAACAGGGCAUUUACACUUGCAUUGCUAUGUAAUAAUGCUAUAAUCGGACACAUGCCUUUAAUGA